GCAUAAUCAUUUACCUUUUAAUUAAAGGUUUGUAUGAAUGAUUUUACAANUAAAUUAUUUUUUUAUAAAUGUUUAUCGAAAUUAAACUAAAAAUAAAAAUGUUUUUAUAACCAAAAAAGACGAUAAGACCCUAUUGAACUUCACUUAUGUUAAGCUGGGGAAGCUAAUUAAAUAUAAUUUUAAUUUCCCAUAAAAAAUAAGUUUCUAAUAAAAUUAUUCUAAACGAGUUACCAUAGGGAUAACAGCGUAAUAAAAUUUUAAAGCUCAUAUUAAAAAUUAAGCUUACGACCUCGAUGUUGAAUUAGAGAACCUUUAAAGCGCAAUAGCUUAAAAAGGAGGUCUGUUCGACCUUGAAACCUCUACAUGAUUUGAGUUCAAAUCGGUGUAAACCAGAUUGGUUUCUAUCUUUUUGAAAUUAUUAUCUAGUACGAAAGGACCAAUAAAAAUAUUUUCAAUAAGGAUGUGGCAGAAAAUUGCAUUAAAUUUAGAAUUUAAAAAUGAAAAUUAAAUUACCCUGUUAAAUGUAACUAUUUCAAUUAUUAGAAUACUCAUUUCAGUAGCAUUCUAUACAAUCAUGGAACGAAAAAUCCUAAGAUAUAUCCAAAUCCGAAAGGGGCCUAAUAAGGUGGGAUUUAUAGGCAUCUUACAACCCUUCA
rnacentral:rRNA from 1 species